GCGAGAAAGUCUAGUGGAACGAUGCAGGGUUCAUUGGGUUUGUUUACAAAAAUUCAAGCAUCCGGUUAAGAAGACGACAAAUAAGAAUGGUAUUAAGUUGGUAGAAUGGAACUCCUUCCUGAUUCCUGCACAUGUAAGUUACCAGAUACUCUUGAGGGACCAAUUUAAGGGCAAACAGACAAACGUUUUGAUGCAAAGAAAGCAUUGGAUUUGAAAGUUCCCAUGGAGAAGAAAAAUGGAGAGAUUCUAAAAGUAUGAAGAUACUCCUGUGUAUAAUGAGGAAAUCUUGUCAGUGAAUGUUGUUGCAAUUGUGGACCAGGCCAGAGUUGUACUAAACCAACUAAGACACAAUGAGAUACAGGAAUGACACAAUGAGAAACAGGAAACAGGAAAGUGAUGACUGAUCGCCACCUGUUACAAA